rnacentral:rRNA from 1 species
GCUAAUACCGCAUAACGUCGCAAGACCAAAGAGGGGGACCUUCGGGCCUCUUGCCAUCGGAUGUGCCCAGAUGGGAUUAGCUAGUAGGUGGGGUAACGGCUCACCUAGGCGACGAUCCCUAGCUGGUCUGAGAGGAUGACCAGCCACACUGGAACUGAGACACGGUCCGGACUCCUACGGGAGGCAGCAGUGGGGAAUAUUGCACAAUGGGCGCAAGCCUGAUGCAGCCAUGCCGCGUGUAUGAAGAAGGCCUUCGGGUUGUAAAGUACUUUCAGCGGGGAGGAAGGGAGUAAAGUUAAUACCUUUGCUCAUUGACGUUACCCGCAGAAGAAGCACCGGCUAACUCCGUGCCAGCAGCCGCGGUAAUACGGAGGGUGCAAGCGUUAAUCGGAAUUACUGGGCGUAAAGCGCACGCAGGCGGUUUGUUAAGCCAGAUGUGAAAUCCCCGGGCUCAACCUGGGAACUGCAUCUGAUACUGGCAAGCUUGAGUCUCGUAGAGGGGGGUAGAAUUCCAGGUGUAGCGGUGAAAUGCGUAGAGAUCUGGAGGAAUACCGGUGGCGAAGGCGGCCCCCUGGACGAAGACUGACGCUCAGGUGCGAAAGCGUGGGGAGCAAACAGGAUUAGAUACCCUGGUAGUCCACGCCGUAAACGAUGUCGACUUGGAGGUUGUGCCCUUGAGGCGUGGCUUCCGGAGCUAACGCGUUAAGUCGACCGCCUGGGGAGUACGGCCGCAAGGUUAAAACUCAAAUGAAUUGACGGGGGCCCGCACAAGCGGUGGAGCAUGUGGUUUAAUUCGAUGCAACGCGAAGAACCUUACCUGGUCUUGACAUCCACGGAAGUUUUCAGAGAUGAGAAUGUGCCUUCGGGAACCGUGAGACAGGUGCUGCAUGGCUGUCGUCAGCUCGUGUUGUGAAAUGUUGGGUUAAGUCCCGCAACGAGCGCAACCCUUAUCCUUUGUUGCCAGCGGUCCGGCCGGGAACUCAAAGGAGACUGCCAGUGAUAAACUGGAGGAAGGUGGGGAUGACGUCAAGUCAUCAUGCCCCUUACGACCAGGGCUACACACGUGCUACAAUGGCGCAUACAAAGAGAAGCGACCUCGCGAGAGCAAGCGGACCUCAUAAAGUGCGUCGUAGUCCGGAUUGGAGUCUGCAACUCGACUCCAUGAAGUCGGAAUCGCUAGUAAUCGUGGAUCAGAAUGCCACGGUGAAUACGUUCCCGGGCCUUGUACACACCGCCCGUCACACCAUGGGAGUGGGUUGCAAAAGAAGUAGGUAGCUUAACCUUCGGGAGGGCGCUUACCACUUUGUGAUUCAUGACUGGGGUGAAGUCGUAACAAGGUA